rnacentral:rRNA from 1 species
UACAGAGGGCCCAAGCGUUGUUCGGAUUCACUGGGCGUAAAGGGUGCGUAGGCGGCGAGGUAAGUCGGAUGUGAAAGCUCGGAGCUCAACUCCGAAAUGGCAUUGGAAACUACCUGGCUUGAGGGUUGGAAGGGGGACUGGAAUUCUCGGUGUAGCAGUGAAAUGCGUAGAUAUCGAGAGGAACACCAGUGGCGAAGGCGAGUCCCUGGACAAUACCUGACACCGAGGCACGAAAGCUUGGGGAGCAAACAGG